rnacentral:rRNA from 1 species
GACGAAGGGGGCUAGCGUUGUUCGGAAUUACUGGGCGUAAAGCGCGUGUAGGCGGUUGCCCAAGUCGGGUGUGAAAGCCUUGAGCUCAACUCAAGAAAUGCACUCGGUACUGGGUGACUAGAGGACCGGAGAGGAUAGUGGAAUUCCCAGUGUAGUGGUGAAAUACGUAGAGAUUGGGAAGAACACCAGUGGCGAAGGCGGCUAUCUGGACCGAGACUGACGCUGAGGCGCGAAAGCGUGGGGAGCAAACAGG